AGUGAACGCUGGCGGCAGGCCUAACACAUGCAAGUCGAGCGGCAGCGCGGGGGCAACCCUGGCGGCGAGCGGCGGACGGGUGAGGAAUUCGUCGGAAUCUGCCUUUUUGUGGGGGAUAACGUAGGGAAACUUACGCUAAUACCGCAUACGUCCUACGGGAGAAAGUGGGGGACCGCAAGGCCUCACGCAGAAAGAUGAGCCGACGACCGAUUAGCUAGUUGGUGGGGUAAAGGCCCACCAAGGCGACGAUCGGUAGCUGGUCUGAGAGGAUGAUCAGCCACACUGGGACUGAGACACGGCCCAGACUCCUACGGGAGGCAGCAGUGGGGAAUAUUGGACAAUGGGCGCAAGCCUGAUCCAGCCAUGCCGCGUGUGUGAAGAAGGCCUUCGGGUUGUAAAGCACUUUUGUCCGGAAAGAAAUCCCUGGAGCUAAUACCUUCGGGGGAUGACGGUACCGGAAGAAUAAGCACCGGCUAACUGCGU
rnacentral:rRNA from 1 species